AUUGAACGCUGGCGGCAGGCCUAACACAUGCCAGUCGAGCGGAUGAAGGGAGCUUGCUCCUGGAUUCAGCUGCGGACGGGUGAGUAAUGCCUAGGAAUCUGCCUGGUAGUGUGGGAUAACGUCCUGAAACGGGCGCUAAUACCGCAUACGUCCUUAGGGAGAAAGUGUGGGAUCUUCGGACCUCACGCUAUCAGAUGAGCCUAGGUCGGAUUAGCUAGUUGGUGGGGUAAAGGCCUACCAAGGCGACGAUCCGUAACUGGUCUGAGAGGAUGAUCAGUCACACUGGAACUGAGACACGGUCCAGACUCCUACGGGAGGCAGCAGUGGGGAAUAUUGGACAAUGGGCGAAAGCCUGAUCCAGCCAUGCCGCGUGUGUGAAGAAGGUCUUCGGAUUGUAAAGCACUUUAAGUUGGGAGGAAGGGCAGUAAGUUAAUACCUUGCUGUUUUGACGGUACCAAAAGAAUAAGCACCGGCUAACUUCGUG
rnacentral:rRNA from 1 species